AUUGAACGCUGGCGGCAGGCCUAACACAUGCAAGUCGAACGAAUGGCGGACGGGUGAGCAAUGUCUGGGAAAGUGGCUGACGGAGGCAGCUAACUGCUGGAACCGGUGGCUACUAGCGCUUAACAUCAUAUGUGCCCAGAUGGUAUUAGCUUGGUGGUUGGGUAACGGCUAACCAAGGCGACGAUCCCUAGCUGGGCUGAGAGGAUGACCAGCCACACUGGAACUGAGACACGGUCCAGAUUCCUACGGGAGGCAGCAGUGGGGAAUAUUGGCCAAUGGGCGCAAGCCUGAUCCAGCAAGGCCGCGUGUAUGAAGAAGGUCUUCGGGUUGUAAAGUUCUGUCGGCAGGGAAGCGGUACCUGAAGAGGAAGCACCGGCUAACGACGUGCCAGCAGCCGCGGUAAUAC
rnacentral:rRNA from 1 species